rnacentral:lncRNA from 1 species
AAAUAAGAAUUUACCUCAGUUUAAGCCCCUUCGGUACCGCGCCCGAGCCUUUAAACCGCGCCCCGCAGGCCACGCCCACAUCAACCAUCACCAUGGCGACAGCGCGGCGGGUAUUAUAACCUCGCUUCAUUAGCAUAGAUUAGCAUAUGGAAAUAGGCGGGUUCACUACGUUUCCCAGCGUGCCCCGCGCGCCGAGGCCACGCCCACGGCCGUGACCUUGUCUGAGGGGAGGUGGGGGGGCUCGGGGACACCCCCGAGUUUAUCGCGACAGAGGCGACAGCGACAGCGACAGCGGCGACAUGGCCGGGCUGGGGAUGGGAGCGGGGCUGCGGCUGCUGCGGAGGAUCCCGCCCGGGCCGUGCUCCCCAAAACUGGGACCACCACGGCCACGGCAGCCCCCCCAAAAGCCCAGAAGAGCCUCGAGGUGAGUGGGGGGUCUUAGAGAGAUUUUGGGGGGAAUUUGGGGGAUUUUGGGGGUUCUUAGAGGGAUUUUGGGGGGAAUUCAGGGGAUUUUAGGGGGUCCUGGGGGGAUUUUUGGGGGGAAUUCAGGGGAUUUUAGGGGGUCCUGGGGGGAUUUUUGGGGGGAAUUCAGGGGAUUUUAGGGGGUCCUGGGGGGAUUUUGGGGGGAAUUCAGGUCAUUUUAGGGGGUCCUGGGGGGAUUUUUGGGGGGAAUUCAGGGAGUUUUG